CAUUUGCCUGGGCUGCGUUCAGAAUGACAGAACGAUGUUCAACAAAGGCCAUGUUUCACAUUAGAACUAUGUAUCAAUGUGAUGUCACCUUUUUUUUGUGGAAAUUUCAGAUAAUAUUGAUUAUAUGCUGCACCAUAAAAGCACAUAAAAAAUAACAAAUGGAACAUUGUCCUUGCAUGACGUAGAAACAGGUGACGUAGCUUUGACUUUGGAAGACAAAGAGACGGGAGUACGUAGGCAAGAAGGAGUUGACCGGGAUUGGCCAUAAAAUCAUGGUAAACUAACGUUACUGAGUUUGUCAUCUGAUCUCUUGGAGCCUGGUGGAGAUCUAUAUGCAACCAUACUACAAGGCAGGACCUUUCUCUGCAUCCAGGUUGAGGCUUGCUACCAGCAGGAACAUGGAGCACUCCAUCAGUGAGUCUGCUGGGCCAUGGAACUCUAGAGCAUCACAUAAAUAAACCUGCCACUCUGUUGUCAUCUAUCUGCAGACACUUCCCUGAGGAAGGAUGCAACUAUCAAGGUUUUCAAAGGCCACAUUUUGGGGAUGACCAAAUGCAAUAACGUUUUGUAUAAACAACUCAUUUAAUUGUUUUGUUAGAUUAUAAAACAAUAACUUUUUCAUAGCAUAUCUGUCUUCAUACUAACUUUGAAUAACUUCUGUGAUAACUUAAAUACAAAGACAAUGAUUCAAAAGGUCUAAAAUAAAUGCAAGUGUUAUGUCCAGGGUGAA